CCUACGGGGUGCUGCAGUGAGGAAUAUUGGUCAAUGGGCGGGAGCCUGAACCAGCCAAGUCGCGUGAGGGAAGACGGUCCUACGGAUUGUAAACCUCUUUUGCCGGGGAGCAACGGGGUCCUUGCGAGGGCCCGAUGAGAGUACCCGGAGAAAAAGCAUCGGCUAACUCCGUGCCAGCAGCCGCGGUAAUACGGAGGAUGCGAGCGUUAUCCGGAUUUAUUGGGUUUAAAGGGUGCGCAGGCGGAAUGUCAAGUCAGCGGUAAAAUUUCGGGGCUCAACCCCGUCGUGCCGUUGAAACUGGCGUUCUUGAGUGAGCGAGAAGUAUGCGGAAUGCGUGGUGUAGCGGUGAAAUGCAUAGAUAUCACGCAGAACUCCGAUUGCGAAGGCAGCAUACCGGCGCUCAACUGACGCUCAUGCACGAAAGCGUGGGUAUCGAACAGGAUUAGAUACCCUUGUAGUC
rnacentral:rRNA from 1 species